ACGGAAGGCAGCAGUGGGGAAUAUUGCACAAUGGGGGAAACCCUGAUGCAGCGACGCCGCGUGAGCGAAGAAGUAUUUCGGUAUGUAAAGCUCUAUCAGCAGGGAAGAAAAUGACGGUACCUGACUAAGAAGCUCCGGCUAAAUACGUGCCAGCAGCCGCGGUAAUACGUAUGGAGCAAGCGUUAUCCGGAUUUACUGGGUGUAAAGGGAGCGUAGACGGGACAGCAAGUCUGAUGUGAAAGGCGGGGGCUCAACCCCUGGACUGCAUUGGAAACUGUUGACCUCGAGUGCCGGAGAGGUAAGCGGAAUUCCUAGUGUGGCGGUGAAAUGCGUAGAUAUUAGGAGGAACACCAGUGGCGAAGGCGGCUUACUGGACGGUAACUGACGUUGAGGCUCGAAAGCGUGGGGAUCGAACAGGAUUAGAUACCCUGGUA
rnacentral:rRNA from 1 species